UGGGGAAUAUUGCACAAUGGGCGCAAGCCUGAUGCAGCGACGCCGCGUGGGGGAUGACGGCCUUCGGGUUGUAAACUCCUUUCGCUAGGGACGAAGCUUUUUGUGACGGUACCUAGAUAAGAAGCACCGGCUAACUACGUGCCAGCAGCCGCGGUAAUACGUAGGGUGCGAGCGUUGUCCGGAAUUACUGGGCGUAAAGGGCUCGUAGGUGGUUUGUCGCGUCGUCUGUGAAAUUCCGGGGCUUAACUCCGGGCGUGCAGGCGAUACGGGCAUAACUUGAGUACUGUAGGGUAACUGGAAUUCCUGGUGUAGCGGUGAAAUGCGCAGAUAUCAGGAGGAACACCGAUGGCGAAGGCAGGUUACUGGGCAGUUACUGACGCUGAGGAGCGAAAGCAUGGGUAGCGAACAGG
rnacentral:rRNA from 1 species